GGAUAUAAUAAUUUUCAAAAGACAACUGUUAGCUUUCUUCUAGUGCCUCAUUCACGAAUAGUGACUGUUUUUCAGUAUUAUCUCUCAUUACUUUUAUUCAGACACUACACAGUACUUCUCAUAGCGUAGCACUUGAAUAUUUGUCAUUCUAAAACUUAAUUUGCUUUGAGUAGUUUUGUGAAGGGUUUCACAUUUUAUGAUCAUUUGUUCCAUGCAAUUACCCUUCAGUGAAAAGAAUGAGCUAUACUAGUGUUUAUAAUUUUGCUUAAGAUCCUUUCCGUUAUGUUAAUCAUUAGCCCUCAUUUGGAGCCAGUUUUUUAAUUGUCUUGGUUGAUACAUUGUCUGAUUGUCUGUGCAGAUUGUUACCUGGGUGUAGUGAUGUCUUAUGAAUAGUAAGAAACACAUUUAGGGAGUUUUCUUGUGGCACAGCAGGUUAAGGAUCCAGUGUUGUCACUGCAGGGGCUUGGGGGCUUGGGUCGCUGCUGUGUCUCAGAUUAGAUCCCUGGCCACAUGCUGCGGGUGGGGCCAAGGGAAAAAAAAAGGGAAACACAUUUAAUCUGCUUUAGAUCUAAUCAGAUGAUGCAUAUUUGAUAGCACUUGGUAAGAAUUUCCAUUUUAAAGCAGUCUGCCUUAUUGUGGAGGAUACUAUAGUGCUGUCUAAAUUGUUUAGGGUGUCAGAUUUAUUUGAAAAUCAAUUGUACCAUUUCUGCAGAACCAUAGAUGUUUUUGCAAAACUGACUUUGUAUUAUUUUAAGUAAUCCUCUGGAAGUUUGGCACUUAAAGUUAUACUUUUAGUUUUUAUUUAUUUAUUUUUCUGGGAGGAUUAAUAUAUUAUAUAGUCUAUCUAAAAACCUCCAGAACUAACUGGGGAGAUUGACUAUUGCUCAGUUUUAGGUGGAGGGUGGGGCAAAAGCUAAAAAUAUGCAUCUUAACUGUAUCCUCAACUACUUCUUUUGAUCUUUUUUUUCCAAGCAGUGUGCCCUAAGUGUGCAUUAAGUGUGCAUUUUUUUCUUUAGGGACGCACCCUCAGCAUAUGGAGGUUCCCACACUACGGGUCAAAUUGGAGCUGUAGCUGCUGGCCUACACCACAGCUCACCACAUCCAGCUCACUGGAUCCUUAACCCAACGAGCAAGGCCAGGGAUUGAACUUGUAUCUUCAUGGAUGCUAGUCAGAUUCGUUUCCUC
rnacentral:lncRNA from 1 species